UACGAAGGGGGCUAGCGUUGCUCGGAAUCACUGGGCGUAAAGGGUGCGUAGGCGGGUCUUUAAGUCAGGGGUGAAAUCCUGGAGCUCAACUCCAGAACUGCCUUGAUACUGAAGAUCUUGAGUUCGGGAGAGGUGAGUGGAACUGCGAGUGUAGAGGUGAAAUUCGUAGAUAUUCGCAAGAACACCAGUGGCGGAAGGGCG
rnacentral:rRNA from 1 species